GGUUGCGAUCAUACCAGCACUAAUGCACCGGAUCCCAUCAGAACUCCGCAGUUAAGCGUGCUUGGGCGAGAGUAGUACUAGGAUGGGUGACCCCCUGGGAAGUCCUCGUGUUACAACAC
rnacentral:rRNA from 1 species